rnacentral:rRNA from 1 species
UGCAGUCGAGCGGANCGACAUUNACAAUCCUUCGGGUGCGUUAAUGGGCGUCGAGCGGCGGACGGGUGAGUAAUGCCUAGGAAAUUGCCUUGAUGUGGGGGAUAACCAUUGGAAACGAUGGCUAAUACCGCAUGAUGCCUACGGGCCAAAGAGGGGGACCUUCGGGCCUCUCGCGUCAAGAUAUGCCUAGGUGGGAUUAGCUAGUUGGUGAGGUAAUGGCUCACCAAGGCGACGAUCCCUAGCUGGUCUGAGAGGAUGAUCAGCCACACUGGAACUGAGACACGGUCCAGACUCCUACGGGAGGCAGCAGUGGGGAAUAUUGCACAAUGGGCGAAAGCCUGAUGCAGCCAUGCCGCGUGUAUGAAGAAGGCCUUCGGGUUGUAAAGUACUUUCAGUUGUGAGGAAGGGUGUGUAGUUAAUAGCUGCGCAUCUUGACGUUAGCAACAGAAGAAGCACCGGCUAACUCCGUGCCAGCAGCCGCGGUAAUACGGAGGGUGCGAGCGUUAAUCGGAAUUACUGGGCGUAAAGCGCAUGCAGGUGGUUCAUUAAGUCAGAUGUGAAAAGCCCGGGGCUCAACCUCGGAACUGCAUUUGAAACUGGUGAACUAGANUNNUGUAGAGGGGGGGUAGAANUUCNNNNGUAGCGGUGAAAUGCGUANA